UCAGCCAUCUUUUCUCAGCCUGGUAAAGAACACGGAGCAUGCGUGUUGUAUAUGUUUUCAACUAGGAAGGUACAGAGGGUCGUCUUCUGCGCAGCAGGGAAAGCACAGACGUUUUUGAGGAGAAUGGGAUUGGAAUGGACUGGUCUGGGUGCCACACGGUCAAGGGGGAAGAGCAACCUUGAAUAUUUGGCUCCGGAGACACAAGGAGGUUACCCUUUCUUCCAUUUUCAGCUACACAAUAAGAGCGCUCAGAAUGAGCGAAGGCACAGAGGUUAGUCUUACAUUCUAAAAUGGAUAAAACCACCAGCGCAAGGAAAGAAGAAAAAAAAAACGAAAGAAGAAGAAAGGGACAAAAACGAGACAACACAAAGCACGGAUUGCCAGCCAAAGACUUUUAUUCGUGAGGAAUUGUAGGUGAAGAAUCUUUCAGCUUUGGUUCCUGAAAACACCGAGGUGGAAUCGCAGGGGAAAAACAACCCUGAAAUUUUGGCUUCAGAAAACACAAAGGUUAGUCUUACGUUCUAUAUCGUACCUGACGAAGGAUGGACUCCGUC